UACGGAGGGUGCGAGCGUUGUUCGGAAUUACUGGGCGUAAAGCGCGUGCAGGCGGUCGAUUAAGUCCGGUGUGAAAGCCCGGGGCUCACCCCCGGAAGUGCGUUGGAAACUAAUCAACUAGAGUACGGGAGAGGGAAGUGGAAUUCCUGGUGUAGCGGUUAAAUGCGUAGAUAUCAGGAGGAACACCGGCGGCGAAGGCGGCUUCCUGGACCGAUACUGACGCUGAGACGCGAAAGCGUGGGGAGCAAACAGG
rnacentral:rRNA from 1 species